UCCCUGGUAGUCUAGUGGUUAGGACUCGGCACUUUCAUUGCUGUGGCCCGAGUUCAAUCCCUGGUCUGGGAA
rnacentral:tRNA from 1 species